UUAUGUUCUUAACUUUGUGGGCCACUUUGAAAUGAAGUGCUGCCAUUUUAACACAACGAGUGCCCUGGGAGAAUGAAAAACAGUUUUGUAUCUGCAGCAACCCAAUCUUUGAGUUUUAGUGAAAUAUAUAUAUAAUUAUUCUCUUAUUAAACUUUAAUAGUUAUUUUAUAAAGGCAUAUAUGAUUAAAUUUUUUCUUUUAGUGUUUAAGAAUUUAAAGUGUCACGACCUAACCUAUGGGCCGGACCGGCACUA
rnacentral:misc_RNA from 1 species